AUGCCGCCCAAGGCUCCCAAAGCACCCGUCACAUGCAACUGGGUUAGAUCCACCGUCACUGGUAGCAUCUUAAACGAUUUUGUGAAGACUGGUCAUCUGCCAAAGAAAGAGAUCAUGUCUUAUCGUGCUCCUGACCCGUCAGAAGAAAAGCCUCAACCCAAGGAUGAGGAAGUUGUCAUUUUUACUGAUCACAUGAACCGGGGUUUUGCUCCACCCGGCUCAAAAAUUUUCAGAGACGUCUUGCACUUUUUUGACCCGCGACCUCAAGACAUCGGACCCAAUUCCGUGUCAAACAUCUGCAAUUUCCAAGUAUUCUGUGAGGUGUACCUUGGAGAAGAACCUAGCUUACUACUCUUUAGAGAGUUAUUUUAUCUGAACCGUCAAAACGAAUGUGCCCACGGGCCCAGCUUGGAGCUUGGCAGAAUCUCAAUCCAGCGACGUAGAGACUGUCUCUUCCCUUAUGCCGAGCCGCCGAGUCACCCUAAAGAUUGGAACCAGACAUGGUUCUACUGUCAAGACACUUCUCCGGCUAAUGAGAACCCUUUGCCCGGCUUUCGCGCCCUGCGCCUGGAGUCAACUCACCCCUUACCAGAUAAAUUAUCUCCGGCUGAACGUCAAACACUUGGCCCCACCAUGAACAAGAUCAAAGCUCUUCUGGGGAACGGCCUAAACGGCAUUGACUUGGUCCGGGUUUGGAUUACCUGGCGGGUGAUUCCUUUGAGCCGCCGCCCCGGCUUGAUGUGCGAUUACACAGGCUAG
rnacentral:rRNA from 1 species